AUGCAACCAGAUAAUAGAAAUUUCCAGUCUCUCAGCUUCCUCCUGCUGCCCCAGGUCUGCUUAUCAAGGCCCUGCCCAUCCUUCAAAGUCAGAAGUCAUCUCCUCCAUGGAGUCCUCCAGCAUGUGAACGUUCCCAAGGAUGGAAUAAACACCAUUUCUUAUGACAUGCCACUCGGUGGCCUCAGCAGGACCUGGAUUGGAUUUCUGUAUCAGCUCCUUACCUGCUGGAUGCCCUGGGAUGAGAGACUUGAUUACCUCUUGCCUUCAUUUUCCUCAUCUGUAAAACAAGGAUGGUGUUAUUUUUAUUUCCUGGAUCAGAAGGAGGAGGACAUUAAUAUAUGAAUUAGAUUAAUAUAUGGAAAGAAAAUAAGGCCAGCCCCUGCCCCCAGGUAAGUGUUGGUGGUGGCAGUGAUGGCGGCAGAAGUAAAUGUUACCAUUCAAACACACCUGCGAGUUGGAACGAACCUCCUGCUAAUGGCGCAUGUGUUCUAAAGAGGUUGUCUGUUAACUGUCCCCUAGUAAUUUGGGACGUCGGUGUCUGAAUUUUUAAAUUCCGGGAUUCCCACUUCCAUGUUUUUCCACCAACUCCUGACAGCACUUUGGGAAGUAAGAAAGAAAUUCAUUUCAUCCUAGUUUUCUGGACCUCUUUUUUCCUAUUCCACCAAGCUCUGUGUCUUCAACCCCAGGUGACCUAUCGCAGGGUGAGGCACGCAGUGGGGAGCCAGAGUGAUGCUCCUGUAAUAUGAAUAAUUUGGACAUUUCUCUCCCCAUUCUAUCUAAUGGGUCUUUUUCUACAUAAUCCUUGUAUCCCCAGGAACUGGUCCUUCUCCCUGGAUUUCUGACCACAUCUUCUUACUGAUUCCUCGAGGACAGCUUCCGCUAGAGCUUUGCUAGUUCCGAACUCCUCCUUCUCAGCCAUGCUUCAUACUCAUUCUGUACCCCAAUUAACUGCUCGGGGGGCAACCAGCCUACUUCCAUGUUAACUUGAACCUCAAGCAGCCAGGCCCUCCAAGGUAUUCGGGCGACACUGAGUUCAGACCCAUCUUGUUUAUCCUCUCUAUGUAGCAUUAACCAUCAAAAACCAAAACAAAACAAAAAAAACCCAUAAGAAAUUAUGGUUCAAAGAGUAUACUUUUGAUAUUGAAAUUAUUGUACUUUUCUCUAGGUCCUUGAAAAUCAGUUAUUUGUGAAGGCAUUUAUGGUAAACUUUGGCCGACUGGAAUAUUCAGUUAACCAGAACACUUGCAUAAUGUGAAGCUGUAAACACUUAGAUUGACCAUCUACUCUAUGUAAGCUCUUUGCUAGAUAUUCUGGGUUAGCAAUUCUUGACCUUUGUCUGUGGAAUUCUGCGAGGUUCACAAAUGGACUUUAGGAAUGUAUGGACCCAUUGAGUUUGUGUGCAAAAUUUUAUAUUUGCAUAUUUAUGUUUUGUUUUGUUUUGUUUUCCUACAGAAAAAGAGUCCAUACUGUUGCUAAGUUAUAAUUAGACCUUAUGUCAGGACCCUAGAUGAUUAAGCAUUUUCUCCAUGGCAUGUGCUUGGAAAAGGAUGCUUUAUGCAAGAAUGUCACGGAUGGAUAAAAGUUACCAAGACUUGCUAUAUAGCACAAGGAACUCUACCCAAUAUUCUGUGAGAACCUAUAUGGGAAAAGAAUAUGAAAAAGAAUGGAUAUGUUGGAGUCCCUGUUGUGGCUCAGCAGUAACGAACCUGACUAGGAUCCACGAGGAUGCAGGUUCAAUCCCUGGCCUCACUCAGUGGGUUAAGGAUCCGGCAUAGCUCUGAGCUGUGGUGUAGGUCGCAGAUGUGGCUCGGAUCUGAGUGGCCCUAAAAAACAACAACAACAACAAAAAAAAAUGGAUAUGUGUAUGUGUAUAACUGAAUCACUUUGUUGUACAGCAGAAAUUAAUACAACAUUGUAAAUCAACGACACUUCAAUAAAACUUUUUAAAAAAUGGAAAAAAGAGAACA
rnacentral:lncRNA from 1 species